rnacentral:ncRNA from 1 species
AUAAUAAUUGAUGCUGUUCGUAUAUCCCCGAAGAUAGGGUUUGGGGGUUUCUACAGGGAACCGUAAAUUCCUGGCUACGAAUAGGGU